rnacentral:rRNA from 1 species
AGCAGCCGCGGUAAUUCCGGCUCCAAUAGCGUAUAUUAAAGUUGUUGCAGUUAAAAAGCUCGUAGUUGAAUUUCGGGAUCAAGUCGUCGGUCGUGCUCAGGUACGUACUGGCGUCAUUGAUUUCUCCCCUUCUGACGAACCAUGAUGUCAUUAACUUGGUGUCAUGGGAAAUCAGGACUGUUACUUUGAAAAAAUUAGAGUGUUUAAAGCAGGCUCACGCUUGAAUACAUUAGCAUGGAAUAAUGAAAUAGGACGUUCGAUCCUAUUUUGUUGGUUUUAGGAUCAACGUAAUGAUUAAUAGGGAUAGUUGGGGGCAUUAAUAUUCAAUUGUCAGAGGUGAAAUUCUUGGAUUUAUUGAAGACUAAUACUGCGAAAGCAUUUGCCAAGGAUGUUUUCAUUAAUCAAGAACGAAAGUUAGGGGAUCGAAG